rnacentral:rRNA from 1 species
AGCAGCCGCGGUAAUUCCAGCUCCAAUAGCGUAUAUUAAAGUUGCUGCAGUUAAAAAGCUCGUAGUUGAAUUUCGGGACCAUCAUGUCGGUCGUGCCUCGGUACGUACUGGCAUUGUUGGUUUCUACCUUCUGACGAACCAUGAUGUCAUUUAUUUGGUGUCGUGGGGAAUCAGGACUGUUACUUUGAAAAAAUUAGAGUGUUUAAAGCAGGCUCACGCUUGAAUACAUUAGCAUGGAAUAAUGAAAUAGGACGUUUGAUUCUAUUUUGUUGGUUUCUAGGAUCGACGUAAUGAUUAAUAGGGAUAGUUGGGGGCAUUAGUAUUCAAUUGUCAGAGGUGAAAGUUCUUGGAUUUAUUGAAGACUAACUACUGCGAAAGCAUUUGCCAGGAUGUUUUCAUUAAUCAAGAACGAAAGUUAGGGGAUCGAAGACGAUCAGAUACCGUCGUAGUCUUAACCAUAAACUAUGCCGACUAGGGAUCCGAUGANGUUAAUUUUUUUGAANGACUCAUUCGGCGCCUU